rnacentral:rRNA from 1 species
AUUGAACGCUGGCGGAAUGCUUUACACAUGCAAGUCGAACGGCAGCACGGGGGCAACCCUGGUGGCGAGUGGCGAACGGGUGAGUAAUACAUCGGAACGUGCCCAGUCGUGGGGGAUAACGCGGCGAAAGCUGUGCUAAUACCGCAUACGAUCUAUGGAUGAAAGCGGGGGACCGUAAGGCCUCGCGCGAUUGGAGCGGCCGAUGGCAGAUUAGGUAGUUGGUGGGGUAAAGGCUCACCAAGCCGACGAUCUGUAGCUGGUCUGAGAGGACGACCAGACACACUGGGACUGAGACACGGCCCAGACUCCUACGGGAGGCAGCAGUGGGGAAUUUUGGACAAUGGGCGCAAGCCUGAUCCAGCCAUUCCGCGUGCAGGAUGAAGGCCCUCGGGUUGUAAACUGCUUUUGUACGGAACGAAACGGUCUGCUCUAAUACAGCGGGCUAAUGACGGUACCGUAAGAAUAAGCACCGGCUAACUACGAGCCAGCCGCCGCCGUAA